GGGUCAGUAGGUUGGUCGUGCCACCGGUACGUACUGGUCUCACUGAUUCCUCCUUCCUGAAGAACCAUAAUGCCAUUAAUUUGUUGUUGCGGGGAAACAGGACUGUUACUUUGAAACAAUUAGAGUGUUUAAAGCAAGCUAACGCUUGAAUACAUUAGCAUGGAAUAAUGAAAUAGGACGAUCGAUCCUAUUUUGUUGGUUUCUAGGAUUGACGUA
rnacentral:rRNA from 1 species